rnacentral:rRNA from 1 species
AGCGAACGCUGGCGGCAUGCCUAACACAUGCAAGUCGAACGAGACCUUCGGGUCUAGUGGCGCACGGGUGCGUAACGCGUGGGAAUCUGCCCUUGGGUUCGGAAUAACUCAGAGAAAUUUGAGCUAAUACCGGAUGAUGACGUAAGUCCAAAGAUUUAUCGCCCAAGGAUGAGCCCGCGUAGGAUUAGCUAGUUGGUGAGGUAAAGGCUCACCAAGGCGACGAUCCAGUCUGGUCUGAGAGGAUGGCCAGCCACAUUGGGACUGAGACACGGCCCAAACUCCUACGGGAGGCAGCAGUGGGGAAGUCUUGCGCAAUGGGCGAAAGCCUGACGCAGCCAUGCCGCGUGGAUGAUGAAGGUCUUAGGAUUGUAAAAUCCUUUCACGGGGACGAUAAUGACGGUACCCGGAGAAGAAGCCCC